UACCUGGUUCGAUUCCCGCCAGUAGUCAUACGCUUCGUCUCAAAGAUUAAGCCAUCGCAUCGUUCCAGUAUGAGUUUUAAUAUAACGAAACUCGCGAAGGGCUCAAUAAAUCGGUUAUUAAACAAUCGACGAUUCUCAAAUGGUUAUCCGUGACAAUUCUACGGUUAAUACAUGUACUGCCACUAUGUGGUGCCUUUAUUUUGACUAUGGCUAACAGCUCUGCUGAUCGUCGUGAAGAAAUUAUCUGUGCUUAUCGUUCUUUUGAAAGAAGCUUCGAAGUUAUUUCCGCCCUAUCAGCUUUCGUCGGUAACGUAGUGGUUUACCGAGGCAGUGACGGGUAACGGGGAAUUAGGGUUUGACUCCGGAGAGGGAGCCUGAGAAACGGCUACCACAUCUAUGGA
rnacentral:rRNA from 1 species